CCUACGGGGGGCUGCAGUGGGGAAUAUUGGACAAUGGGGGCAACCCUGAUCCAGCCAUGCCGCGUGUGUGAAGAAGGCCCUCGGGUUGUAAAGCACUUUCAGUGAGGAAGAACGCCUGGUGGUUAAUACCUAUCAGGAAAGACAUCACUCACAGAAGAAGCACCGGCUCAACUCCGUGCCAGCAGCCGCGGUAAUACGGAGGGUGCGAGCGUUAAUCGGAAUUACUGGGCGUAAAGCGCGCGUAGGUGGCUUGAUAAGCCGGUUGUGAAAGCCCCGGGCUCAACCUGGGAACGGCAUCCGGAACUGUCAAGCUAGAGUGCAGGAGAGGAAGGUAGAAUUCCCGGUGUAGCGGUGAAAUGCGUAGAGAUCGGGAGGAAUACCAGUGGCGAAGGCGGCCUUCUGGACUGACACUGACACUGAGGUGCGAAAGCGUGGGUAGCAAACAGGAUUAGAUACCCUUGUAGUC
rnacentral:rRNA from 1 species